rnacentral:tRNA from 1 species
GUGGAGCUGGCCCGCUUCGGGCUCCGGGCGCUCCAGCCGGCCACGACGGUGGCCCGGCGCUGGCGCGGUGCGGAGGCCAGGGCGCUGUUC